UUAAAUAAAGAAGGUUAUUGAGAACGUAAUUCUGGGACAUGGAUAUAUAAAGAAGGGUGAAAAGGGAAAUGGAGGGAAAAGAAAGGGAUAAAUAGUGAAAAAGAGGACUUGGUUGUCGGGUGAUAACAUGCGAUGUCAUGAGUGAGCAGAUGAAAGAGAAAUAGAGAACUCAUACAAAACGUGGCGGCACGUGCAUCGGCUUCGACUUCCCAUACAUUGUUCACUCGCUUCUUCUUUUCCUUUUGGUAAUAAUAAUAUAUAAAUGAUUUUACCUUCCCCAUG
rnacentral:lncRNA from 1 species